AUUGAACGCUGGCGGCAGGCCUAACACAUGCAAGUCGAGCGAGCGGCGGACGGGUGAGUAAUGGAUGGGGACUGCCCGAUAGAGGGGGAUAACUACUGGAAACGGUAGCUAAUACCGCAUACUAUCGGAUAACCGAUAUGGGAUUAGCUAGUAGGUGAGGUAAUGGCUCACCUAGGCGACGAUCCCUGGCUGGUGUGAGAGGAUGAUCAGCCACACUGGGACGUAGACACGGCCCAGACUCCUACGGAGGCAGCAGUGGGGAAUAUGGCACAAUGGGCGCAAGCCUGAUGCAGCCAUGCCGCGUGUAUGAUGAAGGCCCUAGUGUUGUAAAGUACUUUCAGUCGGGAGGCGUGACCGACAGAAGAAGCACCGGCUAACUCCGUGCCAGCAGCCGCGGUAAUAC
rnacentral:rRNA from 1 species